rnacentral:rRNA from 1 species
UACGAAGGGUGCAAGCGUUAAUCGGAAUUACUGGGCGUAAAGGGUGCGUAGGCGGUUGUUUAAGUCUGUCGUGAAAUCCCCGGGCUCAACCUGGGAAUGGCGAUGGAUACUGGGCAGCUAGAGUGUGUCAGAGGAUGGCGGAAUUCCCGGUGUAGUAGUGAAAUACGUAGAUAUCGGGAAGAACACCUGAGGCGAAGGCGGCUAUCUGGCGGUGCACUGACGCUGAUGCGCGAAAGCGUGGGGAGCAAACAGG